GCCCUGCUGAUGUCAUACCUGACCAUAUGACUUGCUCCAGCCAAUGAAAUGUGAGCAGAAGUGACAUGUGCAGCAUACUAGUAGAAGCUUUGAAGAGCUAUUGCCAAUUUCCACUCUCUCUCUGGAAACUGUCAUUAGGGUUAGGGAAACUGUCAUGAGAUCCGCAUAUUUUAGAUAGAGGCUGCUUGCCUUAGUUUGGGCCCCAAGGAAAAAGAUGUGGAGGCCAGGCGCAGUGGCUCAUGUCUGUAAUCCCAGCACUUUGGGAGGCCAAGGCGGGUGGAUCACCUGAGGUCAGGAGUUCGAGAUCAGCCUGGCUAGCAUGGCGAAACCCCGUCUGUACUAGAAGUGCAAAGACAAAGGGAACUGCAUGGCUUGUUUCUACCUGAACAUUGUCAAGUGAUUUCAUUCUUUGAAACAUGGGUGUGAAGUGUGUCCAGCAGUCUGAGAACAAGAAGAAGAAGACAAUAUAAUCCCUUAGGUGGCUGUGUGCCAGUCCUGCUCUCAGCACUUCCCAUGUGGAACUCCUUUACUUCUCCUAACAACUCCAUGACAUGGUUUAGACUGUGAUUGUUCCCAUAUUGUUGAUAGGGAAACUGAGGCAUGCAGGUGUUACAGAGCUCGCUCAAGUGGCAAGCUUUCUGGGUGGUUACAGAGUGGCAGAACUGGGGUAUCCCACGAUGUCACCACACUGCUAUAUGGAAAGGAACAUUAAUCGAGCACCUACGUGUUUGAUUCUCUUAAUUCUGUGACUGAACUCUCAAAAAACCCUGGGUUGGUUUCCUUUUUACAACUGCCCAAGUCAUGAGUUCAUAGGGCCUGGAUGGCUGAAACGGAUUGCUCUCCAGCUGGUCUCUCUGCAUCCAGAAAUUUCUACAACCUACUGGGGUAAAAUCUUUCCCAACCCUGCUUUUCAUCAUCACAUCUUAAAUACCUCGAGUUGGUUCCCUAUUGCCAAAAAAAAAAAAAUCCAUUGUCCAUGUAGGGUUCUUCUGCUGAAACGAGGGAAGAGAGAGUUAAAUGUUGGUAGGUGAUGUAGACAUAGUAAUUAGGCAAUGUAAUUAGAUGCUGUUGAAAGAGCUGAGCUAUGAAAUGCAUUGUGAUAAAGGGGCUGCCUAUGUAAGUAAAUGGGUAUAAUGAGGUGUAAAACUCUCUUUCUCUCUCUCUUUCUGCUUCAUAAGCCUUUCUGCUUCUCAAGUCCAGACCUGCUGUUUUUGGGGUUUCCUUCCAAUUUUUUUGCUGCUUCCCUGGGGCCUUGGCUCUUGGGCCUGCUGCCUCUUCCCACUCUGCACCUUUGGAUUCCUUAUCUUUGGCUCCACCUUAUUGCUCCAUUCUCCAAAGACAAAUCCAAGAGGCAUAAGAUUUUACAGAAUAUGGAGUUACAGAAACAGCAUAGGGAAGUGUAAAAGCCUAGAAGCUUCUUACAGAUGCAGCCCCUUGUCUGUAGCUCCUGAUUCCCACUUAAACGUCUGUUGGAAGCACCCUGGGGUAGCAGGACCCAGCUCAGAAGAUGGGGCUUAUCCACCAUGCCUUUUCCUAACCUGACACCCACCCAGAUCAUCUUUUCAACAUGCAAACUACAGCGUAUCACCCCCUGCUCAGAGCCUUUCUGUGACCUCCCAUUAUGCUUCACGGGACUCCUUGCUCCUUAGCCAGGUCUCCGGGUCCUCCGUGAUCAGGUCUCUGCUCUUCUGCAGCCUCAUCUCUGCCACUCUUCACCUUUUGUGCUCCAACCCAAUCUGGUUUUCUUCUCAUGCUUUGAACACCCCAAGUCUGUCUGCUUCAGGAGCUUUGUACUGGCUAAUCAUUCACCGUAGCAUACUCCCAUCUAUAGGGCUGGCUCUUAUAUUAUGGGUCUCAGCUAAAAUGUCAUCCCUUCAAAGAGACCUUCUUGGACCACCCCAGCCAUUCUCUUUCCUAUUUCCCUCUUUCAUUUUCUUUGAAGCUCUUACCCACUUUCAGAAACUGUCUGGCUUGCUCAUGUGUUUGUCUCUAGAUUGUCUGCUUCCCCUGCUAGACUGUACUCUCCACAAGAGAGCAAAGCUGUGUCUGUUGCAUUCACUGUUGUCUUCGCAGAAGCGAACAGCAUGCUGGAGACCCUCAAAUACAUGUGAAAUGAAGGGACACCUUGUGUUAUUUCACCUGUUUCCACCUGGUUCCCAAGUGGCAAGCUUGCAUUGUGGUUGCAAAGUGGCAAAGCUGGGAUAUCACAUGAUGUCACCAUGAUGCUAUAUGAAAUGUAACAUUAAUUGAGUACCUAUGUGACCAGUUCUUUAAUUCUAUAAUUGAACUCUCAAAAAACCCUAGGUAAGUAUUAUCAACUCCAACUUUAACAGAUGAGGAAACUGGAAUUUUUUAAAAAAUGACUUAACCAAACAUUACAGAGCUGUAAACCGGGAUUUGAAUGGGUGAGCUGCACUCAGCCUUCAUCUCAAGUCAGUUUGCCUCUUACUCCAAGAAGCCACAGUUGAUCCUGACCACAUCACAUAUGGGUUGCCAAGAUUGCAGUCAUUCAUUCACUAAGCAUCUUUUAGGAGGUCACAUGCCAGGCACCGUGUUAGGUAAUGAUUUCUCCAAGUCACAGGAGCCGUGGUUCUGACUUUAGAAAGUUUCUCAUCUGAUGGAAGGGCAGGCAAGUAAAUCAGUGAGGGUGGUCCCUGUCGGGACUCUCUGGUUGAGAAAUACCCAAAGUGCAAAGUGACAGGGACUAGAGGCAUCUCCAUUGGACCAGAGAGCUCUGGAUUCCUCUUGAGCUAAGUCUCUGGAGGUAGGUGUCAGCUACAAGGAGAAAAGCAGUAUAUUUUGAGAUGUGGGAUGCAGGGCCUUUUAGUUCCAUAAAUUAGAGAACCAUGGUGUGAAUACCGCAUGCCCUGGGCUGACCUAAGUGGGCUCUGGGGGAAGGUAUACUGGGCAGGGAGUUUGGAGAACUGGUUUCUGUCUAAUCCUUCUCUAACUCUGUGACCUUGAAUGCAUCACCUCCCCUCUGAGUCUCAGAUUCUCUUUCUGGCUGGCAUUUAAUGAAACCUAAAUAUUCUAGACCUUCUACUUGUUCCAUAAGUGCUCAGUCCUACACUCACUGUCCUCUGGCACCAAUAUACUGAUUACUCAUUUUAUGCCCAGCAGAGCACCACGUGUUUUGAAUUAUACAAAUAGUGGGAAACGAAAUCUUUGUUCUGGAUGCAAUUAUAAUUUGGAAAGCAAGGAAAUAAAUUAUAAUAAGGGGAAAAAGCAGACACAGAGGGAUUGAAAUGCAUAACAAUAGAGAUGAAACACGAAGAGUGAUAAAUGAAGAUUGAGUGUGCACACCUUCUGGAGGAGCCCUGAUUGAGUAUUUUAACACAGAAGUGGGUGAGAGCAAAGUUGUAUCAGAGUAGGACAAUGACACCAAGCCAGAUGGUUAUCAAAAUCCACAGGAACAAAUGAAGAGAACCAGAAAUUGCAAAUAAGAAGGACAGAGUACCAGAGAGGGAGAGAGAUGUACAGAGAAUUAUGGAGGUGGCUUCCCUUGAGUAUGCAGCUAAGUAAUGAUUAACGCAUACAUAUAAGAAACUACUGGAAGACAGAGAAAGAACCACAAGCAAUUAAAG